CCUACGGGAGGCAGCAGUGGGGAAUUUUGGACAAUGGGGGCAACCCUGAUCCAGCAAUGCCGCGUGAGUGAAGAAGGGCUUCGGGUUGUAAAGCUCUUUUGUCAGGGAAGAAACAGCAGCUCUAACACAGUCUGCGAAUGACGGUACCUGAAGAAUAAGCACCGGCUAACUACGUGCCAGCAGCCGCGGUAAUACGUAGGGUGCAAGCGUUAAUCGGAAUUACUAGGCGUAAAGCGUGCGCAGGCGGUUAUGUAAGACAGGCGUGAAAUCCCCGGGCUUAACCUGGGAAUUGCGCUUGUGACUGCAUAGCUAGAGUAUGUCAGAGGGGGGUAGAAUUCCACGUGUAGCAGUGAAAUGCGUAGAGAUGUGGAGGAAUACCAAUGGCGAAGGCAGCCCCCUGGGAUAAUACUGACGCUCAUGCACGAAAGCGUAGGGAGCAAACGGGAUUAGAUACCCCGGUAGUCCACGCCCUAAACGAUGAGUGCUAGAUGUAAGAGGUAUCGACUCCUCUUGUGUCGUCGCUAACGCAUUAAGCACUCCGCCUGGGGAGUACGCACGCAAGUGUGAAACUCAAAGGAAUUGACGG
rnacentral:rRNA from 1 species